GAUGAAGAACGUAGCGAAAUGCGAUAAGUAAUGUGAAUUGCAGAAUUCAGUGAAUCAUCGAAUCUUUGAACGCACCUUGCGCUCCUUGGCAUUCCGAGGAGCAUGCCUGUUUGAGUGUCAUUAAAUUCUCAAGACCUGUCUGCUUUUUUGAUAGGUAUUGGAUUUUGGGGGUUGCAGGCUGUUUCAAAUAAAUAGCCUUGCUCUCCUUGAAUGUAUUAGUGGAGAAAAGCCAUUGAACUCCAUUGGUGUGAUAAAACCUAUCAAUGCCAGGAGCAAUAUCACUACUUCUCUCUGCUGUCUAACUGUGACUGUCUGUAUUAAUUAGUAUGGAUGGGGACAACUUGACCAACUUGACCUCAAAUCAGGUAGGACUACCCGCUGAACUUAAGCAUAUCAAUAAGCGGAGG
rnacentral:misc_RNA from 1 species